CCUACGGGGGGCAGCAGUGAGGAAUAUUGGUCAAUGGACGAGAGUCUGAACCAGCCAAGUAGCGUGAAGGAUGACUGCCCUAUGGGUUGUAAACUUCUUUUAUAAAGGAAUAAAACGAGGCACGUGUGCCUUUUUGCAUGUACUUUAUGAUUAAGGAUCGGCUAACUCCGUGCCAGCAGCCGCGGUGAUACGGAGGAUCCGAGCGUUAUCCGGAUUUAUUGGGUUUAAAGGGAGCGUAGAUGGGUUGUUAAGUCAGUUGUGAAAGUUUGCGGCUCAACCGUAAAAUUGCAAUUGAUACUGGCAGUCGUGAGUACAGUUGAGGUAAGCGGAAUUCGUGGUGUAGCGGUGAAAUGCUUAGAUAUCACGAAGAACCCCGAUUGCGAAGGCAGCUUACUAAACUGUGACUGACAUUGAUGCUCGAAAGUGUGGGUAUCAAACAGGAUUAGAUACCCGUGUAGUC
rnacentral:rRNA from 1 species